AACGUAGGAGACAAACGUUAUCCGGAGUUACUGGGCGUAAAGGGCGUGUAGGUGGUUUCGUAAGUCUGGCGUGAAAUUUUUCGGCUUAACCGGGAAAGGUCGUCGGAUACUGCGGAACUAGAGGACGGUAGAGGCGUGUGGAAUUCCGGGUGUAGCGGUGGAAUGCGUAGAGAUCCGGAAGAACACCGGUGGCGAAGGCGGCCUGCUGGGCAGUAGCUGACGCUGAGGCGCGACAGCGUGGGGAGCAAACAGG
rnacentral:rRNA from 1 species